rnacentral:rRNA from 1 species
UACGUAGGGCGCAAGCGUUGUCCGGAAUUAUUGGGCGUAAAGAGCUCGUAGGCGGCCAGUUGCGUCCGCUGUGAAAUCCCGGGGCUUAACCCCGGGCGUGCAGUGGAUACGGGCUGGCUAGAGGCAGGCAGGGGAGAACGGAAUUCCCGGUGUAGCGGUGAAAUGCGCAGAUAUCGGGAGGAACACCGGUGGCGAAGGCGGUUCUCUGGGCAUGUCCUGACGCUGAGGAGCGAAAGUGUGGGGAGCGAACAGG